UGAGGAAUAUUGGGCAAUGCCCGCAAGGGUGACCCAGCAACGCCGCGUGGAGGAUGAAUGUCGUAAGAUUGUAAACUCCUGUUAGAGGGGAAGAAUAGUACCGGUUGGACCGGUAUAUGACUGUACCCUCAGAGAAAGCCCCGGCUAACUACGUGCCAGCAGCCGCGGUAAUACGUAGGGGGCAAGCGAUGUCCGGAUUUACUGGGUGUAAAGGGCGCGCAGGCGGGAUAAAAAGUCAGUGGUGAAAUCCUACAGCUUAACUGUAGAACUGCCUUUGAUACUUUUAUUCUUGAGUACGGGAGGGAAGGACGGAAUUCCAGGUGUAGUGGUGAAAUACGUAGAUAUCUGGAAGAACACCAGUUGCGAAGGCGGUCUCUUGGUCCGACACUGACGCUGAGGCGAGAAAGCGUGGGGAGCAAACA
rnacentral:rRNA from 1 species